rnacentral:rRNA from 1 species
AGCAGCCGCGGUAAUUCCAGCUCCGAUAGCGUAUAUUAAAGUUGUUGCAGUUAAAAAGCUCGUAGUUGAAUUUCAGGCCUGGCUGGACGGUCCGCCCUUCGGGUGAGUACUGUCUGUGGUCGGGUCCUACCUUCUGGCGAAGCGUCAUGGCCUUAACCGGCCGUGGCGGGGAACCAGGACUUUUACUGUGAAAAAUUAGAGUGUUCAAAGCAGGCAAUCGCUUGGAUACAUUAGCAUGGAAUAAUGGAAUAGGACAAUGGUUCUAUUUGUUGGUUUCUAGGACCGUUGUAAUGAUUAAUAGGGAUAGUUGGGGGCAUUAGUAUUCAAUUGUCAGAGGUGAAAUUCUUGGAUUUAUUGAAGACUAACUACUGCGAAAGCAUUUGCCAAGGAUGUUUUCAUUAAUCAAGAACGAAAGUUAGGGGAUCGAAGACGAUCAGAUACCGUCGUAGUCUUAACCAUAAACUAUGCCGACUAGGAAUCGGGCGAUGUUGAAAAAAUGACGCGCUCGGCACCUCAUG